rnacentral:rRNA from 1 species
CAGUCGCCACGGGAAUACGAAGGGGGCUAGCGUUGUUCGGAUUUACUGGGCGUAAAGCGCACGUAGGCGGACUUUUAAGUCAGGGGUGAAAUCCCGGGGCUCAACCCCGGAACUGCCUUUGAUACUGGAAGUCUUGAGUAUGGUAGAGGUGAGUGGAAUUCCGAGUGUAGAGGUGAAAUUCGUAGAUAUUCGGAGGAACACCAGUGGCGAAGGCGGCUCACUGGCCCGAUACUGACGCUGAGGCACGAAAGCGUGGGGAGCAAACAGGAUUAGAUACCCCAGUAGUCCCUGUCUCUUAUAC